UACGUAGGGUGCAAGCGUUGUCCGGAAUUAUUGGGCGUAAAGAGCUCGUAGGCGGUCUGUCGCGUCGAAUGUGAAAACCCGGGGCUCAACCCCGGGCCUGCAUUCGAUACGGGCAGACUAGAGUUCGGUAGGGGAGUCUGGAAUUCCUGGUGUAGCGGUGAAAUGCGCAGAUAUCAGGAGGAACACCGGUGGCGAAGGCGGGACUCUGGGCCGAUACUGACGCUGAGGAGCGGAAGCGUGGGGAGCAAACAGG
rnacentral:rRNA from 1 species